AGAUCGCUUUGAGGACAAUUCCUCAACAAACCCUUGUAUCGCUCCCAUGCCUCAUACAAUGAUUCUCUCUUUUGUUGCUCGAAAUUUGGAACAACUUUCUUUAAUUU